rnacentral:lncRNA from 1 species
CAUUGCUCUUCCUCUACAUACCUCAAACAGACCCCAAGGGCCCCCCCCUGCAGCCUUUGAGGAAGUACCUCUUUUUUUGUAACUUAUCAGGGAAUUUCCGCUGCUGCUACACUUCCUCUGGUUCAGCACCCUCUGACCAGAUCGUUUGAAUUUCUUCCCCAACCUUUGCUUGGCUGGGGUUCUUUUUCUGGUGCAAUGGUACCCUACAAAAAAUCUAAGCCUCGACAUGCCCUUUGCUUUUUGUGUUCCUUCCACCUUGGUCCCUCAAUUAGCUCUGUACAGGAAGGCUAAAUUAACAUGGCUUAUUUCUACCUCCCUUUCCAGUACAAGACAGGCUGUCUUUCUACCAGUAGUAGUUGGACUCUCCCUGGCCUCCUCACUUGCUGCUUCCAGACUGGGGGAAGGAGGACUUGGUUAUGCAGUAACUGCUACUCAGAAGCUUGAACAACAACUUUGGGAAGCGGUAGAGGCAUCAGCCGCCUCUCUUGCUUCCCUGCAAAGGCAAAUAACAUCUAUUGCCCAAGUUUCAUUACAGAACUGUUGAGCCCUAGGUCUCCUGACAGCAGACAAAGGAGGAACCUGUCUAUUCCUGAAAGAAGAAUGCUGCUACUAUAUCAAUGAAACUGGAUUGGUCGAAAAGAAUGUCAAGACCCUCCAUUGUUUGGGUGAAAGACUUAAACAACAACAAAUGACCCUUGGCCAGGCUGGCUAA